GGGGCCCAAGGGCGCGAGCGCGGAGCACGCCCCAGGGGGCCAGGGACAGUGGUUCCCUGGAGCAGCCAUAGCAGGGGGGCGCGGGUACUCACACGAAAGCGUGGUAGAUGAACGCCCAGCCGCGGGGUCUCUCCAGCACGUUGUACAGAAAUUAAUCAGAGAACCCAAGACAACGUCAGAGAUCAUAUGAGCCUCACCAGACUGCAUGAGAAUCAUAACACAGUAGGAGUCCCAGGCCUACCUCACAUGGCAAAUGGGACAUUGUUCUUCAGAACAGCCUCUGCCCCAGGGAUGCAGAAAGGAGGGUUUCACUAUGUUGGCCAGUCUGGUGUUGAACUCCUCACCUCAGAUGAUCCGCCCACCUUGGCCUCCCAAAGCGUUGGAAUUACAGACGUGAGCCACCACACCCAGCCAGAGAAGAUGUGAAAUUUUGAGAGCUGAUCAUACUUUGAGAAUAAUAAGUAGUUGGAUUCUACUGAAGCUCAGUGGCUUUUGGAGGUGUAGCUAUAAGCAGGAGGCAGCAGAAGUAAGACAAGGGCUAUAUGACAAAGUCUUGGCAAGAACUUUGCAUUUUAUCCUGAUGUGAGUGGGGAGAGCCACUGAAGAAUGUUAAGCCAGAAACACUACAUGUCACUACUUCUACUUUCAGAAAAGGCUUGAUAUGGAUUGCACACCUACAAGUGGCACACACUGUUCCAAGUGGAGACUCAAAGAUGAAAACGAUACAGUGUCUAUGCUAUAGGUUUGUGAAGCUACCAAUCCAUGGACAGAUGUUAAGCCUAACUUCCAAUUUAGGUACAAAUAUCUGAGUAAAUGAUGGUAUCAUUUACUCAAUCAGUAAAGGUCAAAGAGAAGGCAGUCUGAAGAAGGGAAAGGUGUUCAAUUUUGUAUUGAGUUUGACAUACCUGUUGAGACAGCUCAGUGGAGAUAUCCAGUUGAUGAUUGGAUAUAUGGAUCUACAGUUCAGGGGGAGCUAGAAAUUGAAAUUUGAGAAUCAUCAACUUAUAUUUAUAAUGGGUGAAAUCAAUAAGUCAGAAUCAAAUUACCUGGGGAAGCAUGCAGAUUUGUUUAAAAAGGAAGAGGCCUGAGAACCCAACCCUAGUAAGCAUGACCAUUCAGGAUAAGAGAGAAGGAGCAAGUAGGGAAAGAGACUGAAAUAAAGAAACCUGAGUAACCACUGAGGACCGCUGCUACAAUAGCGAAAAAAGGAGCUUCAUUAGGGAAAUGCCUGAAAGAAAUCAAAUAAGGUAAGGGUUUUGGAUUUAGCAACAAAGAGGUCAUUUGAAGAAGUUGUUUUUAUUUUUAUUUCCUUGCAGAAUUGGAGAAAUAGGAAUCAGAUCAGAGUGAGCAGAGAAACAAUUUGAAGAUAAGGGAAUGGAGAUAAUUAUUUUAAAGUGGGAGAAGCAAGCAGAAGACUUAGGUUUGAAGAAUGCACUAUACAAAAUAAUGUUGAUUCACUUGAGACUUGAGUGGCUGUUACAGCCACUGUCACAGGUCCCGAGGCUGAGCCUGCACAGGUGUUUGGACAACUAAGCUGCAAUUUUGACAGACACUGUUUCACUGUCAAUUGUGGGGCCUGCAACGACUUGGACAUCUUUUAUUGAUUUUAUUGAGUACUUUAAUAACAUUUUAAUAAAAGCCAUUAUAUUUUAUUUCUAACAUUUCAAAAAAUUAUAUUUAAUAAGUAUGCAUUUUUCACGUUUAGUUUUACCAAGAAGAAAAAUGCAUACUAGUUUUUGUUUGAUUUUAUUUGUAAUCAAGGCGGAGGAACUAACCAGAUCAGAAAAAGAAAGUCAAUACCUGCUAAGUAUUCAACACAGUUUUCAACAGUGCUACUGAAAGCUACAGGAGAUAUCGAGAGUCCCUCAGACAGGUCAGGGAUUGGCAAGAGUGGGGUCAUCAAGUUUCUGGAGUUUCAAUAAGAUAUUUGCUUUUUUCUUAUAUAUACAUAUUAGCUUUCUGCAUAAAAUUAUAUUAACAGAAAUGCUAUUAAAGUUGUUUUUGAAAAAC